GAUGAACGCUGGCGGCGUGCCUAAUACAUGCAAGUCGAGCGAACCACUUCGGUGGUGAGCGGCGAACGGGUGAGUAACACGUAGGUGAUCUGCCCAUCAGACGGGGACAACGAUUGGAAACGAUCGCUAAUACCGGAUAGGACGAAAGUUUAAAGGUGCUUCUGGCACCGCUGAUGGAUGAGCCUGGGGCGCAUUAGCUAGUUGGUAGGGUAAAGGCCUACCAAGGCGACGAUGCGUAGCCGACCUGAGAGGGUGAACGGCCACACUGGGACUGAGACACGGCCCAGACUCCUACGGGAGGCAGAAGUAGGGAAUCUUCGGCAAUGGGCGAAAGCCUGACCGAGCAACGCCGCGUGAAUGAUGAAGGUCUUCGGGUUGUAAAAUUCUGUUAUAAGGGAAGAACGACUUUAGUAGGAAAUGGCUAGAGUGUGACGGUACCUUAUGAGAAAGCCACGGCUAACUACGUGCCAGCCGCCGCGGUAAAAC
rnacentral:rRNA from 1 species